AGUGAACGCUGGCGGUAGGCCUAACACAUGCAAGUCGAACGGCAGCACAGUAAGAGCUUGCUCUUACGGGUGGCGAGUGGCGGACGGGUGAGGAAUACAGCGGAAUCUACGUGUUCGUGGGGGAGAACGUAGGGAAACUUACGCUAAUACCGCAUACGACCUACGGGUGAAAGCAGGGGAUCUUCUGACCUUGCGCGAUUGAAUGAGCCGAUGUCGGAUUAGCUAGGUGGCGGGGUAAAGGCCCACCAAGGCGACGAUCCGUAGCUGGUCUGAGAGGAUGAUCAGCCCCACUGGACCUGAGACACGGUCCAGACUCCUACGGGAGGCAGCAGUGGGGAAUAUUGGACAAUGGGCGCAAUCCUGAUCCAGCCAUACCGCGUGGGUGAAGAAGGCCUUCGGGUUGUAAAGCCCUUUUGUUGGGAAAGAAAAGCAGCAGGUUAAUACCCCGCUGUUCUGACGGUACCAAAAGAAUAAGCACCGGCUAACUUCGUG
rnacentral:rRNA from 1 species